rnacentral:rRNA from 1 species
UACGUAGGUGGCAAGCGUUAUCCGGAAUUAUUGGGCGUAAAGCGCGCGUAGGCGGUUCGUUAAGUCUGAUGUGAAAGCCCCCGGCUCAACCGGGGAGGGUCAUUGGAAACUGGCGGACUUGAGUGCAGAAGAGGAGAGUGGAAUUCCAUGUGUAGCGGUGAAAUGCGCAGAGAUAUGGAGGAACACCAGUGGCGAAGGCGGCUCUCUGGUCUGCAACUGACGCUGAGGUG